rnacentral:rRNA from 1 species
UACAGAGGGUGCAAGCGUUGUUCGGAAUUAUUGGGCGUAAAGCGCGUGUAGGCGGCUUUGCAAGUCGGGUGUGAAAGCCCUCAGCUUAACUGAGGAAGUGCGCCCGAAACUGCAUUGCUUGAGUACCGGAGAGGAUGGCGGAAUUCCCGAAGUAGAGGUGAAAUUCGUAGAUAUCGGGAGGAACACCGGUGGCGAAGGCGGGUCUCUGGGCAGUAACUGACGCUGAGGAGCGAAAGCGUGGGGAGCGAACAGG